rnacentral:rRNA from 1 species
UACGGAGGGUGCAAGCGUUAUCCGGAUUCACUGGGUUUAAAGGGUGCGUAGGUGGGCAGGUAAGUCAGUGGUGAAAUCUCCGAGCUUAACUCGGAAACUGCCGUUGAUACUAUUUGUCUUGAAUAUCGUGGAGGUAAGCGGAAUAUGUCAUGUAGCGGUGAAAUGCUUAGAUAUGACAUAGAACACCAAUUGCGAAGGCAGCUUACUACACAACGAUUGACGCUGAGGCACGAAAGCGUGGGGAUCAAACAGG